UGAACGCUGGCGGCGUGCCUAAUACAUGCAAGUCGAGCGAACGGACGCGAAGCUUGCUUCUCUGAUGUUAGCGGCGGACGGGUGAGUAACACGUGGAUAACCUACCUAUAAGACUGGGAUAACUUCGGGAAACCGUAGCUAAUACCGGAUAAUAUUUUGAACCGCAUGGUUCAAAAGUGAAAGACGGUCUUGCUGUCACUUAUAGAUGGAUCCGCGCUGCAUUAGCUAGUUGGUAAGGUAACGGCUUACCAAGGCAACGAUGCAUAGCCGACCUGAGAGGGUGAUCGGCCACACUGGAACUGAGACACGGUCCAGACUCCUACGGGAGGCAGCAGUAGGGAAUCUUCCGCAAUGGGCGAAAGCCUGACGGAGCAACGCCGCGUGAGUGAUGAAGGUCUUCGGAUCGUAAAACUCUGUUAUUAGGGAAGAACAUAUGUGUAAGUAACUGUGCACAUCUUGACGGUACCUAAUCAGAAAGCCACGGCUAUCUACGUG
rnacentral:rRNA from 1 species